UUCGACUAAGGUUCGAUUCGAGCGAAAGCGAGAAAGCGUUGCCGCAGGCAACGACCCGAAGGGCGAAACGCGCAGCGCUGAGUCAUCCUUCCCCCACCACCA
rnacentral:sRNA from 3 species